GAGGAAUAUUGGUCAAUGGGCGCGAGCCUGAACCAGCCAAGUAGCGUGCAGGAUGACGGCCCUAUGGGUUGUAAACUGCUUUUGUAUGGGGAUAAAGUCAAUCACGUGUGAUUGUUUGCAGGUACCAUACGAAUAAGGACCGGCUAAUUCCGUGCCAGCAGCCGCGGUAAUACGGAAGGUCCGGGCGUUAUCCGGAUUUAUUGGGUUUAAAGGGAGUGUAGGCGGUUUGUUAAGCGUGUUGUGAAAUUUAGGUGCUCAACAUUUAACUUGCAGCGCGAACUGUCAGACUUGAGUACACGCAACGUAUGCGGAAUUCAUGGUGUAGCGGUGAAAUGCUUAGAUAUCAUGAAGAACUCCGAUUGCGAAGGCAGCAUACGGGAGUGUAACUGACGCUUAAGCUCGAAGGUGCGGGUAUCGAACAGGAUUAGAUACCCUGGUAGUCCGCACAGUAAACGAUGGAUGCCCGCUGUUAGUACCUGGUAUCAGCGGCUAAGCGAAAGCAUUAAGCAUCCCACCUGGGGAGUACGCCGGCAACGGUG
rnacentral:rRNA from 1 species